UUCAGCCAUUACUGUAAAAGAUUAUAAAAGCAUCUGUUUAAUAGCAAAGGAGAAAUUACAACAGGCAUCUUGGUUUGACAUUCUAUGAUGUCAAGAUUCAUGGGGUCUUUUCUUACAUUCAAGAAAUGAACUAAGUGUGGAUAUUCUGUUCAGAACUUAGUCCAAGGGUUCACCAAGAAUGUAACCAACUCCUGCAUUAUCAUGGAACUGACUGUGUUGAGAACUUCUCAUUCAACAGAUGACAAAGACUUACACAGGCCAAUUAAAUAUUCCAUGCUUGGUUCAUAAUAGGGGGACCUGAAAAACAGACAUCUUUCUUCCCAUUCCGGUCACCCUCAUGAGCUGGGGAAAGGAAUUUGAGAAGUUGAAAGGGCAGAAAAGGAUAUAGAGAGGAAAAAGCAACAGGACUCCUCCCCAACAAGGUUCCUAACCUGCUCGGUGUCUGUAAUGUUCCCCUGCUAUUUUCAAUCAGCAAGCCCCAUAUACUGUAGCACCUAGUGCUCUGAUGGAACAGGAACGAAGCUAACUUCACAUUUAUUGGACAUAGUAGGGCUGGAGUGAAUCAAUUGGCAGAUCAGAUUUUACCCCACAAGCUGAAUCUAUUUUUCAAUUUUAGCUUUCUAAUCUUUGUCCUAGGAAAACUGGCUAUUUCUUUACACUCCUCUUUUAAUGAUUUGGCCAAAUUCCCACUUCUAGUCACUUUCUUAUUUGCCCUUAGGUCUCUGAAUAAUCCUAGGUUUGGUCAUUUUUUGUGUGGGAUGGCGUGGGUUCUGUCAAUUGAGUUUUCCGUGUAAUUUUAUCUAUGUCUGUGCUGUCUCUUCUGAAGGGAGAGAAAAAUACCUUUCUUGAAAACUUCCCACAGCAAUUUACACAUGGGAUUUCAAUGAAGGCUGUUGAUUAUGAUGAGAAAUGUUUAUACAAUGUAGAAAUAUCUCAUUCCUCUAGAAAAGCAAGGCUUUAGGAUGAGCUAGCUUAUUUAGAGGAAGAUGACUGUGUAACAUUGGCUAUCACUGCAAUAUUAAGACCCAAUUGCAAGUCAUUUUCAAUAUUUUUUCAGAGCUGUCACCGUCAAUAAAAAUCUCUACUCAGAUAGGAUGUCACAGACUGGAUGAAAACAUUCUAAGCCAUUAAAAAAAGUUCCUGACACUUAUGCUUUGAUGUUAGUGGGAGGAAACAGAGUUUGUUUUUUAAGGAAGUCAAUUCCAGGAUAAUGGCAGCUGAAAUUAGUACACCUCUCUAUAGACAGGUUGUUGGGGUUGAAUUAUAAAAAAAAUUUCUUGGGAAAGUGGGUAGAUUGAUUAUGCAUGAACUUAAGUAUCUGUCCCUAAUGAAAAGUAGAAUUCACAUUAUCCAUAUUUACUUCUCUGUUGAUGUCUGGUAAUAAAGGAAAUGA